GAGCUUAUGCUUAUGUCUUAUGCUUAUGGUUACGGAGAUUCAUGUGCGAUGGCCUUAAAAAGUUUUAUUUGCAACAGUUAGGGCUAUCCUACACAAAAUGACAUAGCUGCAUAUGCAUAGCAUAAAACUAUAUGGACCAAUGAGCGUCUAGCAUAAAGUCGCCAUAUUGAUUUACAUAACAUAGCAUAUACAUACAUAAGCAUAACAUAUGCAUAAGAAAUGAAAAAAUCCAUAAGAACGAAAUUUUUAUGCAUAUGGUCUAUGCACAAUCAAUCAAAUUUCAAACAAAAGUUUCUAUUGUUUAAAAUUCUGUAGACUUAAAGAUAAUAUAGAUAUAAGAAAAGUACAAAAAAAUAAUAAAGGUACAAUCAUAGAUCAUAAUAAUUAUUGUAAAAGAAAAGAUAGUGAAAACAAUAAAGAAAAUGAAGACAUUGAUGACUUCGAGAGAAGAAGAUUCAUUAUUAAUAGAAUUAGGUAAAGGUUAUCUUCAUCUUUACGAUAAAGAAGUAAAAGACUUUAAAGAUACUAAUAAAAAACAAAACUCUUGAAAGGAAAUAGGAGAAAUUUUAAACGCAACAGUAUCUUUUAGCUUCAGAUUGUCAAAUGAGAUGGGCAAGAUUACGCGAACGAUAUUCUCGUGAAAAAAAAUUACGAGAAAUAGAAACAAGAAGUGGAAGUGAAAGUACAAUGAGAUCAAUAUUUCCUUUAUAUGACCAAAUGAAUUUUUUGUUCAAAUUUGUCAAAAGUAGGAAAUCUAUAACUAAUAUAUCAAAUUUGACUUUUAAACAAUUACAUCCAGUCAAGACGAAUGAGUCAACAGAAAAAUUAGGAUUCUCAAAUAUACCAAAGAACCAGAUUCGAUCAAGUAACGAGGAUGAUACACAGAUGACAUAAAAAUUGCCUAAACCUAACUCUUUGUUAAAAACAUCAACAACAGUAGCUUCUACAAGUUCAUCAAUAUCUUCUACAUACUACUCUCCUUCUCAAUCAGUUAACACAUCUUGCUUACAUAAUAAUGAUACUUAUUCCCAGAUAAACAUGACGAAAGAAUCAGAUAACCGUAGUAACCAACGCAGACCAUCUCCUACAAGUCUUGUACCGGCAAAUAUAACAAGUACAAUUAAUAGACAAAACUGCUCAUGUGAAAUUGUGUUUAUAAUAGAUGAAGGGCUAAUACAAACACAUACAAGAUGUGUACAAAAAUACGAUUUUAUUUCAACCCAGCAAACAAUUUGGUUGCGAGAUGUCGCAGUUUUGUCGCCAACCGCCGGCGAAAUUAGU